GGGGUUGUGGCUCAGCGGUGGAGUGCUCACCUAGCAUGUGCGUGCGAGGCACUGAGUUCGAUCCUCAGAACCACA
rnacentral:tRNA from 1 species